rnacentral:rRNA from 1 species
UGAGGAAUAUUGGUCAAUGGGCGAGAGCCUGAACCAGCCAAGUAGCGUGCAGGAUGACGGCCCUAUGGGUUGUAAACUGCUUUUGUAAGGGAACAAAGUGCGGGACGCGUCCCGUUUUGCGUGUACCUUAUGAAUAAGGACCGGCUAAUUCCGUGCCAGCAGCCGCGGUAAUACGGAAGGUCCGGGCGUUAUCCGGAUUUAUUGGGUUUAAAGGGAGCGUAGGCCGGAGAUUAAGCGUGUUGUGAAAUGUAGUGGCUCAACCUCUGCACUGCAGCGCGAACUGGUCUUCUUGAGUACGCACAACGUGGGCGGAAUUCGUGGUGUAGCGGUGAAAUGCUUAGAUAUCACGAAGAACUCCGAUUGCGAAGGCAGCUCACGGGAGCGCAACUGACGCUGAAGCUCGAAAGUGCGGGUAUCGAACAGGAUUAGAUACCCUGGUAGU